CCACGUCACGUUGAAACACCGAUUUUCGUACGAUCACCGAAGUUAAGAAACGUCGAGUCUGGUCAGUACCUCGAUGUUUGAGCAUUUGGGAAUACCAGGUGUUGUAAG